rnacentral:lncRNA from 1 species
UGGGGUGCAAGAUGAACCUGUGGUCUCUGUAGAGACACACCAUGCCUUGGAUGUGGCUAUGGCCACACCCAAACAGUAGCCCUGGUUACAGGAGUAUGGUGUGAAUCAUAGAAUGGCCUGGGUUGGAAAGGACCGUAAAGAUCAUCUAGUUUCACCCUCCCCCCCCCACCAUGGGCAGGGUUGCCAGCCACUAGUUGAAGACUGAAAGAGGGCAGCGUGUGUGAAUUUUUCAUUAGAGUCAUAGAAUCAUACAAUCGCAAUGUCCAGAGUUGGAAGGGACCCAUAAAGAUCACUGAGCCCAACUCCUGGCUCCACAUAGGACCACCCAAAACAGACAUUGUGGAAACUAUUGGCAAUGUUAGCAACUUUCUUCAGUGGGAGAGGGGUGCAGGGGAAUGUUCUUGGCUCUCCAAGGGGAAGGGAGCUGUGAGUAGCCCUUUCUCAUAUGGACAUUUUCUGGAGACUACAGCGUAUCAUUUUCAUUUUCAGUCAGUGUUGAAUAUGAAUUUAUCCUGAUAUCCCCUAACAUGCUCUUACCUAUUAAAUUCCUUUACACCACACAUUGCUGAGACUGAUUCUUGUUUCACAUAACCCUCAUCUUUGCUCCUCUCCAGUACCAAGCUCUAGUAGGUGCAACUAAGUGUCAUGAUCUUCUGCAACGCAAAAUAUGAAUUUAGUACGUCUGGCUUUUCUCUGCUGCUCUUUUCAAGGCCCUCCAGACAGCCUUCAGGUUGAGAAGUUACUCAGAAAUUUCCCUGACAUCUACCAACUCUUUUAGGCAAGAUAACCCACUAAAAAUAUUUGUAAAUUCAAGCUUGUGGGAGACCAUAAGGAAACAUGAACUAUCCUUUAAUUUGUACUAUGACUUGUCGCUAGUGUUAUGCCCUUAAGCUUCUUGUGUUCCAGCAGUGCCAACUCAUCAUGACAUUUUAUUUAAAGGCUGCACUGGAGUCAUGUGAUAUCUGCAAACAUUUACCUCCCAGUUUGAAAAUAAAAGCUAUUUCAAUCACUGAAAACCACUGGAAAAAAAAAAAAGUUGAAAGAAAACUCUCAGGAUCUAGAAGAAACUGGAGAACUGCAUGCAGCAGCAUCUCACUUGGUACUGAGGCAUCUUAAGGCUGGGACCAAGCAAAACCUGGUCUCGGAGUGUGAUGAGGUGGAGAAUCAUCCAGGUCUGUACUUUG